UUUACUCUGACCAUCGUGAUCACAACCUUGAUUUUAACAGCCAGGUUCACAUGACACUUCCCAAGAGUGAACAGGAUAAGAUUGCAGCUUGUGAUGAAAUCAUCAUAUCUGCAAAGCGUAUGAUUACACAAGGGAUCGAACAUGACAUAAUUUUGGACAGAGUGCGGGAGUCAGCAGGCAGUAAUCGAAUGUCUUUCUUAGAAAAGAAGGAUAUAGAUAAUAUUUGUGUUAGGUAUGGAUUGAAUAAAACCCACAGCAGACACUCUGAUGACAGCACAAGUGUACGAUUAAUUGUUAAAGAAAUGCAGGAUGCCAAUGAAGUCUUGUAUUUCAAAGAUCAAGGAGAUGUAGAUUCAGAUAAUCCUGAAAUACCAUCCAAAGAAUUUGUAUUAGGUUUUAUGAA